UCCCCGAUAGCUCAGCGGUAGAGUAGGUGACUGUUAAUCACUUGGUCGUUGGUUCGAAUCCAACUCGGGGAG
rfam:Altererythrobacter dongtanensis strain KCTC 22672, complete genome.